UUUCCAUAACGGCCUGCCAAAUAAAAUGCGAGAAUGUUCACACUUGUAAUAAAUGACUUGUUCCCAUGAAAAAAAAAAUCAGUAUGGAUGGCUUUUAGAAAAUGCUUCAAGAAAGAUUAUCAACAAAGUUUCAUUCAGCGGCCGCUUCAAUUAUAAAUAAUUUAACCAAACAAUAAACAAACUUUUCUGAUUAAGAACAGCAUCUAAGGCCAACUCAUAACAUAGUCCAGCAUCAAAAUAAUGAUAGCCACGUAGAAACAUCACAUAGCAAAUACAUAUAUACAGUAUUCAAUAGAUUUGCAUGUGUAUGUCAAACGGCAUCCAAAAUUUUGAUAAAAUCACAAAAACAGAAUAUACCUGAAUCAAUAAAAGUUGUACAGCAGCUCUACAUUUUGCAUCAGAUAU
rnacentral:misc_RNA from 1 species